GACGAACGCUGGCGGCGUGCUUAACACAUGCAAGUCGAACGGAAAGGCCCUGCUUUUGUGGGGUGCUCGAGUGGCGAACGGGGGAGUAACACGUGAGUAACCUGCCCUUGUCUUUGGGAUAACUUCAGGAAACUGGGGCUAAUACCGGAUAGGAGCUCCUGCUGCAUGGGGGGGGUUGGAAAGUUUCGGCGGUUGGGGAUGGACUCGCGGCUUAUCCGCUUGUUUGUGGGGUAGUUGCUUACCAAGGCUUUGACGGGUAGCCGGCCUGAGAGGGUGACCGGCCACAUUGGUACUGAGAUACGGACCAGACUCCUACGUGCGGCAGCAGUGGGGAAUAUUGCACAAUGGGCGGAAGCCUGAUGUAGCAACCCCGCGUGCGGGAUGACGUCCUUCUAGUUGUAAACCGCUUUCGCCUGUGACGAAGCGUGAGUGACGGUAACGGGUAAAGAAGCACCGGCUAACUACGUG
rnacentral:rRNA from 1 species